UACGAGGGGGGCGAGCGUUGUUCGGAAUUACUGGGCGUAAAGGGUGCGUAGGUGGUCGUUUAAGUCCGUUGUGAAAUCCCUGGGCUCAACCUGGGAAUGGCAGUGGAUACUGGACGGCUAGAAUGCGGUAGAGGGUAGUGGAAUUCCCGGUGUAGCAGUGAAAUGCGUAGAGAUCGGGAGGAACACCAGUGGCGAAGGCGGCUACCUGGACCAGCACUGACACUGAAGCACGAAAGCGUGGGGAGCAAACAGG
rnacentral:rRNA from 1 species